rnacentral:rRNA from 1 species
UACGAAGGGGGCUAGCGUUGUUCGGAAUCACUGGGCGUAAAGCGCACGUAGGCGGAUUUUUAAGUCGGGGGUGAAAUCCCGAGGCUCAACCUCGGAACUGCCUUUGAUACUGGAGAUCUUGAGUCCGGAAGAGGUAAGUGGAACUGCGAGUGUAGAGGUGAAAUUCGUAGAUAUUCGCAAGAACACCAGUGGCGAAGGCGGCUUACUGGUCCGGAACUGACGCUGAGGUGCGAAAGCGUGGGGAGCAAACAGG